rnacentral:rRNA from 1 species
CAGCAGCCGCGGGAAUACGAAGGGGGCUAGCGUUGUUCGGAAUCACUGGGCGUAAAGCGCACGUAGGCGGACGCUUAAGUCAGGGGUGAAAUCCCGAGGCUCAACCUCGGAACUGCCUUUGAUACUGGGUGUCUUGAGUCCGGGAGAGGUGAGUGGAACUGCGAGUGUAGAGGUGAAAUUCGUAGAUAUUCGCAAGAACACCAGUGGCGAAGGCGGCUCACUGGCCCGGAACUGACGCUGAGGUGCGAGAGCGUGGGGAGCAAACAGGAUUAGAUACCCGAGUAGUCCCUGUCUCUUAUAA